rnacentral:rRNA from 1 species
UACGGGGGGAGCAAGCGUUGUUCGGAUUUACUGGGCGUAAAGGGCGCGUAGGCGGCCAGCACAAGUCAGUUGUGAAAUCUCCGAGCUUAACUCGGAAAGGUCAACUGAUACUGUGCGGCUAGAGUGCGGAAGGGGCAACUGGAAUUCUUGGUGUAGCGGUGAAAUGCGUAGAUAUCAAGAGGAACACCUGCGGCGAAGGCGGGUUGCUGGGCCGACACUGACGCUGAGGCGCGAAAGCCAGGGGAGCGAACAGG